UACAGAGGGUGCAAGCGUUGUUCGGAAUUAUUGGGCGUAAAGCGCGUGUAGGCGGCAGUGCAAGUCGGGUGUGAAAGCCCUCAGCUCAACUGAGGAAGUGCGCCCGAAACUGCAUUGCUUGAGUACCGGAGAGGAUGGCGGAAUUCCCGAAGUAGAGGUGAAAUUCGUAGAUAUCGGGAGGAACACCGGUGGCGAAGGCGGCCAUCUGGACGGAUACUGACACUGAGACGCGAAAGCGUGGGUAGCAAACAGG
rnacentral:rRNA from 1 species